GCGGGAAGAGCUCAACAUUUAUAAUCUGGCACCUUCGGUGUCCGAGUUGUAAUCUCUAGAAGUGUUUUCCGCGUUGGACCGCACACAAGUCUGUUGGAAUACAGCGGCAUAGUGGUGAGACCCCCGUAUAUGGUGCGGACGCCCAACGCUUUGUGAUACACUUUCGAAGAGUCGAGUUGUUUGGGAAUGCAGCUCAAAUUGGGUGGUAAAUUCCAUCUAAAGCUAAAUAUUGGCGAGAGACCGAUAGCGAACAAGUACCGUGAGGGAAAGAUGAAAAGCACUUUGGAAAGAGAGUUAACAGUACGUGAAAUUGUUGGAAGGGAAACGCUUGAAGUCAGACUUGCUUGCCGAGCAAUCGGUUUGCAGGCCAGCAUCAGUUUUCCGGGGUGGAUAAUGGUAGAGAGAAGGUAGCAGUUUCGGCUGUGUUAUAGCUCUUUGCUGGAUACACCUUGGGGGACUGAGGAACGCAGUGUGCCUUACGGCGGAUUUCUCGAGAUCUUCACACUUAGGAUGCUGGUGGAAUGGCUUUAAACGAC
rnacentral:rRNA from 1 species